rnacentral:lncRNA from 10 species
GAGUGCGGGGAUGCCUGAGGUCUACUGCUGCCUUAUCCAGAGCUGCCAUCCCCGGCGAUGACUCAGAGUUCCUGUGGCCCCAGCAUCAUCCCUCCAUCCCUGGCUGUGAGGCAGGAGCAGAGUUGCAGACCUGAGAGGCCUUGAAUUUGUUUGAUAUAGGACUUUGCCACCAGACAAAGUGCUUUGCCUGUGAGGUCUGGCUUGGCCUGGCCUCUGAGAAAGAACAAACACAGACCUCACUGGAAGGAACCUGGAGAACGGGAGAGGAGAGGCUGCUGCUGUCUGCCCUCCCAGCAGCAGAUAUAAAGACAAUGGGCUUCUAAGUCCCCUAGAGUCCCAGCUGUGUAAUUUAAGGAAGGAGCAUGGAGAAGACAAGAACAAGGCUCUCAGAAGGAAAUGGUGUGGCUGGAGCCAUGAGAACUGGUUGUGGAGGGGGUGAGGAACCAUGAGGAUAUUUGAAAGACAUGAAGAAUAGAAUGAUAGAAGCAGGCAAAUAUAAUUUCUGACCUACGUAAUGAUGUAUGCACAAGAAGCCUCUCUUGAAUGUAUUAAUUCAGUAAACAGUUAUGGAGUCCUUACAAUGUGCUAGUGGGACUUUGAAGAUGAAUCCAAAUUUGGAUCCUGGCCUGGAAAGGCUCAAAGCCCAAUAUGGGAGCCUGGAUACAAAUGUGAAACUUAUCUUCUUUUAUUAACCAAUCAAUCACCUCCUGCCAAAACAACAUCAGCAAAAACAACAGAAAAAAACAAAAACAAAAACAAAAGGUAGAAAACCCAUCAUCACUGGGCAUUGUCUUCCAGUGAUUCUGAGCAGAAACAAAGGGGAACGUAUGUCUUCAUUGUGACUCAGCGAGCAAAGAGAUGGAGUCUUUUCCAAGAAGAAAGUGGGAGAUUUGGGACCACUGACGGACCUUGCAGGUGGCAAUCGUGCAUGGGAGGACAUGGUGGUGGCAGGGUUCCUGACUGUGGCUGUGGGUGGCCUGGACUUGGCAGUGGAGGGAGAUUCAUUCAGAGAAGGAUUCUAGCAAGACCUUGUUUAUGUUGGAAACUGUUAGCAGACGCCGAAGCUGUCCGGGGCUGGGAGGAGAUAUGAAGGUGAAUUUGGAAUUGCUAUCAAAUUCCUUAGGUAUCCGUAUUAAGGGCACUCAAGAAAUGAGCCUAAC